rnacentral:rRNA from 1 species
GUACGGGGGGAGCAAGCGUUGUUCGGAUUUACUGGGCGUAAAGGGCGCGUAGGCGGUCAGCACAAGUCAGUUGUGAAAUCUCCGGGCUUAACUCGGAAAGGUCAACUGAUACUGUGCGACUAGAGUGCAGAAGGGGCAACUGGAAUUCUCGGUGUAGCGGUGAAAUGCGUAGAUAUCGAGAGAACACCUGCGGCGAAGGCGGGUUGCUGGGCUGACACUGACGCUGAUGCGCGAAAGCCAGGGGAGCGAACGGG